UACGGAGGGUGCAAGCGUUGUUCGGAAUUACUGGGCGUAAAGAGCGUGUAGGCGGCUGACCAAGUCCGGUGUGAAAGCCCGGGGCUUACCCCCGGAAGUGCGCUGGAAACUGGUCGACUAGAGUAUGGGAGAGGGAAGUGGAAUUCCUGGUGUAGCGGUGAAAUGCGUAGAUAUCAGGAGGAACACCGGCGGCGAAGGCGGCUUCCUGGACCAAUACUGACGCUGAGACGAGAAAGCGUGGGGAGCAAACAGG
rnacentral:rRNA from 1 species